rnacentral:tRNA from 1 species
UGUUGAGUGGUGUAAUGGUUGAGCAUACCAGUCUUUGACACUGGCAGUUUUGGUUCGAAUCCAACAGUCGCAACAA